AUAUAACUAAGCGGAGGAAAAGAAACUAACAAGGAUUCCCUCCGUAACGGCGAGUGAAGCGGGAAAAGCUCAGUCUGAAAACCUUCGGGAAUGUAGUCUGGAGAUGGGACAUCGAAGCUCAGGAAGUCGAUAAAGUGGUCUGGAAUGACGCGCCGUGGAGGGUGACAGCACCGUUCGUAUCGAUGGAAAGAGUUAGUAGAUGCCUGUCAACGAGUCGAGUUGUUUGGGAUUGCAGCUCAAAGCGGGAGGUAAAUUCCUUCUAAAGCUAAAUACGGAUAGGAGACCGAUAGCAAACAAGUACCGUGAGGGAAAGAUGAAAAGCACUUUGAAAAGAGAGUCAAAAGACUUGAAAUCGUUGAGAAGGAAGCGGUAGAAAUUUAUUCUUCGGCAUUCAUCUUAGGUUUUCACUUAACUAUUCCGGAGCUAAGGUACGCAAGGCCUGGCGUUGGACUUGGGGAAGUGGGGCUGUGGUGGGUGUUGUGAGGCAAAAUGGGAUUGUAUUUCUGCAAAGGUGCUUGUCGCUUAGGGGGCUUCGGCUCUCAACGAUGGGUGUGCCGGUAGGGGUAUAGUCCGAGGGGCUUUGUGCGAUUUUGCCAAAAUGGUUUUUACCGA
rnacentral:rRNA from 1 species